rnacentral:rRNA from 1 species
GAUGAACGCUGGCGGCGUGCUUAACACAUGCAAGUCGAACGAAGAUGCCGGAGUGCUUGCACUUUGGCAGACUGAGUGGCGGACGGGUGAGUAACGCGUGGGUAACCUGCCUUAUACAGGGGGAUAACAGUUGGAAACGACUGCUAAUACCGCAUAAGCGCACGGUAUCGCAUGAUACAGUGUGAAAAACUCCGGUGGUAUAAGAUGGACCCGCGUUGGAUUAGCUAGUUGGUGAGGUAACGGCCCACCAAGGCGACGAUCAGUAGCCGGCCUGAGAGGGUGAACGGCCACAUUGGGACUGAGACACGGCCCAAACUCCUACGGGAGGCAGCAGUGGGGAAUAUUGCACAAUGGGGGAAACCCUGAUGCAGCGACGCCGCGUGAGUGAUGAAGUAUUUCGGUAUGUAAAACUCUAUCAGCAGGGAAGAUAAUGACGGUACCUGACUAAGAAGCACCGGCUAAAUACGUG